GCAGCUAGCUGCGAGAAUUAAUGUGAAUUGCAGGACACAUUGAUCAUCGACACUUCGAACGCACUUGCGGCCCGGGGUUCCUCCCGGGGCUACGCCUGUCUGAGCGUCG
rnacentral:rRNA from 1 species